CUGCUGCCUUCCGUAGGAGUUUGGGCCGUGUCUCAGUCCCAAUGUGGCCGGUCACCCUCUCAGGUCGGCUACUGAUCGUCGGUUUGGUGGGCCGUUACCCCGCCAACUGCCUAAUCAGACGCGGGGCCAUCUCAUACCACCGGAGUUUUUCACACUGUACCAUGCGGCACUGUGCGCUUAUGCGGCAUUAGCAGUCAUUUCUAACUGUUAUUCCCCUGUAUGAGGCAGGUUCCCCACGCGUUACUCACCCGUCCGCCG
rnacentral:rRNA from 1 species